GGCAGCCCUUCCAGAAGAUCACCUGCACCACCCUCUGCCCAGUGGACGGCGCGUGGACGGAGUGGAGCAAGUGGUCGGCGUGCAGCACCGAGUGCACCCACUGGCGCAGCCGCGAGUGCGCGGCCCCCGCGCCCCGCAACGGCGGCAAGGACUGCAGCGGGGUGCUGCUGGACUCCAAAAACUGCACCGACGGCCUCUGCCUACACAAUAAAAGAAUUCUAAACGAGCCCAAAAGCCACCGUAAGUGCUCAUUUCAUGGCCAUUAUUUUUUGUUUUGUUUGUUCCUGUGUUUUUCUUCUGUUGAAUCCACGGCAGGGGUUCCCUGGCAGCUGGGCCAAGGACAGGGUGGGAAGAUGGAACAACUAAAGCCCAUUCCAAA